rnacentral:tRNA from 1 species
GUGGGUAUAGCUCAGUGGGAGAGUACAUGCUUAGCAUGCCCGAGGUUCUGAGUUCAAUCCCCAGUACCUCCA